rnacentral:tRNA from 1 species
CAGGAAAUAGUUUAACUAGAAUUAUAGCUUNGGGGGUUANUGGUGUAAGUGUAGAAUCCUACUUUCCUGA